GACGAAGUAGCCCAUGGCGCCAGACCAAAGCCGUUCAUGGUUUACAAGAACAUGGACCUUUUGGACAUUCACCCUAUACAGUCCGUCGUUAAGGUGGACGAUACGAUAAGCGGGGUAGGUGAGGCGCUGGAGGCCGGCUGCUGGGGGGUAGGCGUGGCUCAAUACAGCAACUACAUGGGCGUCGACAGCCUGGAGGAGGCAGAGAAACUGACCAAAGAGGACGAAGCGAUUCGUUGUCAAAAGAGCAGCGAAAUGCUCCGACAAACAGGUGCCCAUUACGUCAUAGACAGCAUCAAAGACCUUCCGGAAGUAGUUGAAGACAUCAACAGGAGACUAGCCCGAGGAGAAAGACCAUAAGCAUUAUAUUGGAUAUUGUGUUACGUUGUUUCUUUAUUGUUGAUACAAGAGACAGUGAAAUUUAUCUAAUAUGAUUACGUCAUUACAACCUGGUUUCAUUAAACAACGUAAUAGACAAUCGACGUCGCUUUCCGUUUUCUCAUAACCAAUCCCUUUUCCCAUAGAGUGUAGCAUAUCCUCCCGUUUAAAAUGUCCGUACGUUUCCGCUGAAAUAUGGAUGUAGAAUAGCAUAUCUUAUAAUAAGAUACGUAAUAGUUUAUAUAAUACUAGUAUAUUAAAAAAUAAAGGCAAAUAUCAAGAGGU
rnacentral:misc_RNA from 1 species